rnacentral:rRNA from 1 species
UACUUGGUGUUACUGCGAAGGGGGGACGGAGAAGGCUAUGUUGGCCGGGCGACGGUUGUCCCGGUUUAAGCGUGUAGGCUGGUUUUCCAGGCAAAUCCGGAAAACCAAGGCUGAGGCGUGAUGACGAAGCACUACGGUGCUGAAGCGACAAAUGCCCUGCUUCCAGGAAAAGCCUCUAAGCAUCAGGUAACAUCAAAUCGUACCCCAAACCGACACAGGUGGUCAGGUAGAGAAUACCAAGGCGCUUGAGAGAAC